CCUCGAACAAAAUCAUCAGCAUCAUCUGGCUCAAUAUGACACAUUACAGAAGCAGCUGCUCUUGAGCCCAUUGAACGACCUAAAACCAAUUAAAAUUAAGUUCAGUUUGAAAUAUAAACAUUCACAUAAAGUAGUGGUGAUGAUAAUGUGGCAAGUCAGAUUUCAUUCACUGUUCAUCCAUCAUAUUGCUUAUCAAUAAAUAUUAACUACAACAGGUGCCAAUUAAAAAGCUGCAAUACCCAGAGACUUGUGAAUAGCUAAAAACUGAUCCUAAGUCAAAUCUUAAAAAAAAAAAAAAAAAAGGAAUUAUUUUCCAAAAGAAUACUUGAAGUGGUGAAGACAGUCCUUGGGAAGGAAUCAUUUGAGAGGGGGUGAUUCAGGGAUAUAAAUAAAAGGAGACCUCUUCAGGUUAUAACACAUAUAUAUGAGGUUUAAAUUAGAUUUAAAUAUUAAAGUAUCUUGGUGUUACACCAGCAAGUGACUUACCGAAACAAAACAAAAAAUCCUUAAGUCUCUUCCUGUCUUUAAUUUUAAUUCUCAAUUACCUAUUCCUAUAUUAAUAUGAGUAGACUUUAGAACAAGUAUUCACAAGUAUUGAAAACUUACCUCCAAGGAAAACACCUGCAAGUUUGUAUUCUCCUGAGGUCUUUAGGUAAUUCUAGAAAAAUCAACCAAAAAAUUAUCAAUUCUUCUCCCAUGAAAUAUUCCACUGGAAAACCAACAUAUAUUUUCUCAUCAUUACUGAAAUGUAUGAAAAUUUUUGCAAAAACAAGAAAUUUCAAGGGAUUCUUCUUGGAAGAGAUAAUCAAUUCUUUGCUCUCUGGUCAUGCCUUCACUGUCAAAUCAUAAACUGGGUAAUACAGGCAAAUAAGUGGAAUAAAAACACUGUCUAAAACAAAUUCAAGUCCUAAAAUAUUUUUAAAGAACAAAUCGUGGAGGGAAGAAAAGCCAGUAAAAGCUUCCAACUAAUACAAAAUGUGAUAAUACUAACAUCUAAUUUAAAGCUCUGAAAAACUCAGUAAGCUUGAAGUAAUCUGGAUUAAAAGAAAUUUCAGAUUUGUUUUAUCCAGGGAUUUUAUAGUUUCUAAUAGAGAAAUCACAUAUUAUUUGUACAUUCAUAGUAUACAAGGCAAAAUACCUAGAACUAUAUAUCCUAAAUUUCAAUAUGUAAAUUACAUCAUAAGUAGAUUCUUUGGCAGUAUCACGGAGAAACAUUUAUGAUGUAAGCACUCAUCCCCAUGGAAACUAACUGAUGGCAAAAAAGAGAAAUCUGACCAUUACACAGCCUUCAUACACUGCUGAGUUUCUAAGAAUACUCAUUAAAGGAUUUUUAAAUUAAAUCAAACGACUGCUAAUAAAAUGUCUUAAAUUUAUUAUGAAUUUUAAAAACAGAAUUGUCGUAAGUAAAUAUAAAGAAAUUUUCUUACCAAAACUGAUUUAUAUGCCUUAAUUCUAUGUACAAUAUUAAGGCCUUUACAGGUAAAUCUCAGGCUAAAAAAACCAUGAGAUGCAAGAUGGGAUGCCAGUGACAUCAAAUGAGGAAGAUUCAUAUCUCCUGAUGCUCCAUGUGUAAGAAUUAUUCCAUAUGUUAAGCUCUUGUUAGGUACCAAACAAACAGCAUCUAGUAAUUUAUUUCCAAAAGGUAUUUUUAAUUUAACCUGGAAUUCAAGAGAAUAAAUGGAUCAAAAAUUACUUCCUUGCCUAUUCAGACAAAUGAAUAACUAUAUAUGUUUGUUCUGCAAGACCCAUGAUUCAAGUCACAGCCUCCAAAUAAAAAGCAAUGAUAUUAAUAACUAAUACUUAAGAAAUACUUAUUGUGUCAGGUACUAUUAUAACUGCUUUAUAUGUAUUAAAUCAUUUAACAUUCCUAAGAAUUCUAAGAGGCAAGUACUGUUACUAUCUCCAUUUUAUAGCUGAGAAAACUGAGGCACAGUAGCUUACAUAAUGUGCCCAAGGUUAUAUAUCCAAUUAGCGAGGAUCCAAACUCAGGCAGUCUGCUCCAAAGUCCUCAUUCUUAACCACUAAUGCUAUGCUGUCUCUCACAGUACAAGAUGAAAAUAAGAAAAUUACUCUGGAGCCAUAUGACUACAAAAAAAAAAAAAAAAAAAAGGAACCUUGAAGAUGCAGAAUGUAUGAAAAUAUGUAUUACCUCUGUAUGACUCAUUUUCACUGUUGAAUAACAAACUUAAAGUGCAUUACAUCUGAGAAGCAAAGGACAUCUCCCUGAAAAGAAGAUUCUGUUGUGAAAGCCUGGGUUCCAGAAUGAAGACACAUGGAGCAGACCAGAUCCCAAAACUAAAGUCUGGAGUCCAGCCUAGUCCAACCAACAUCUAAACCACUGAAGAACGAUGAAGUGUCUACCUGAAGAACCAAGAGCAUGAAAUGCCGGGAGCCAGAGAUUUCAGGGUUGUUAUGAAGCAUUCCUUCCUAUAGUAUGAGAUCUUUUAUUGUUCAGGAUAUCAUCAACGUCAGGAUCUCCAUUGUUCAUCUUUUUUCCCACUAACAUUUACUAAUUCAUUCACUGAAUAGAUAAUAACAUGGUCCAAAGUUAAAAAGGUACAAAAAUAUACAGUGGAAAGUCUCUCCCUCAUUCCACUUUUGCCUUACCAUCCAGAUCCUCUCUUCAAAGGCAACCAAUAUUCUGCUAUCUUUCAGAUAUUUUAUAUAUAUACCUACAGAUACACACAUCUCCUUUUUCUUUUUAUAAACUGGUGACCUACUUUUCUGAACCCCCCCCCCAUAUGUAUCUUGGUGAUUACUCAUUUCCUUAUACAACAAGCUUCUUGUUUUUUUAUGGCUAUAGAAUAUUCCAAGGAAGGGUUGUACAUAAUUUAUUUUACCAACCAUCUAUCAAUUAAAAUGAGAUUGUUUCCAAUCUUUUGCUAAAACCAUAUUGCAAUGAGUGGCACUGUACUUAACAUUAUUUUCACAUGUGUGUAGACAUAUCUGUAAGAGAAAUUCCUGUGUCAAAGGGUGUAUUCACUUACAAUUAUUUUUUAAGAAAUACAUUUCAUUUUUGAAUAGGUAAUAUACGCACAUGGUACACAAUUUUAAAACAGUUAACAGUAGUUAAGUCUCCUCCCAUUUUUCCCCCAGCCACAAUGUUCCUUUCCCUUCCCAGAAGCAACCACUGUGACUAACUUACUGUGUAUAUCUUUCCCUUUAUGUGUGUGUGUGUGUGCACACGCACGCAUGUGUGCGCGUGCAAAAUUCUCAUAUUUGAGCCUGAAGGGUAUCAGACUGGCUGCAGAAAGUUCUGGGGUUUAAACUGGGGGAUGAUGGACUUCAAUCUUCAUUGUCCCUGUUUUCAUAAAGGGAGCCUAGUAACUGUGCCCGGGGUCCCCUGGUUCAAAGAUCCUGCUUUACGUUCUCAAGAGACCAGCCUCCAGUCUUCUAAUGGGAGACAAGCAGAAUCCAACGAUGUGACACGGGGAGACAGCGCCGGCGGUCUACCUACUUCUCUGGCGCGCUUCACCGAGGUACAGCCCUCCACAUCCAUCCCCAGCUGCCACCUUCUGCACCUUCUGCACAUUUCGAAGACUCUGUUUCUGACGUAGAACUGUUCCCCCAGCACUCCCUGCUGCUGGUUUAGAAUUAAGCUGAUCUGCUAAGGCUUGGGCUUUCUGGAGCUCAGUAUCUUA